UUAUUGGAGAGUUUGAUCCUGGCUCAGGAUGAACGCUGGCGGCGUGCCUAAUACAUGCAAGUCGAGCGAACGGAUUAAGAGCUUGCUCUUAUGAAGUUAGCGGCGGACGGGUGAGUAACACGUGGGUAACCUGCCCAUAAGACUGGGAUAACUCCGGGAAACCGGGGCUAAUACCGGAUAACAUUUUGAACCGCAUGGUUCGAAAUUGAAAGGCGGCUUCGGCUGUCACUUAUGGAUGGACCCGCGUCGCAUUAGCUAGUUGGUGAGGUAACGGCUCACCAAGGCAACGAUGCGUAGCCGACCUGAGAGGGUGAUCGGCCACAC
rnacentral:rRNA from 1 species